rnacentral:lncRNA from 1 species
CAUGAACGAGGUCCAGUAGGACCUGUAGACAUGAACGAGGUCCGGUAGGACCUGUAGACAUUAACGAGGUCCAGUAGGACCUGUAGACAUUAACGAGGUCCGGUAGGACCUGUAGACAUGAACGAGGUCCGGUAGGACCUGUAGACAUUAACGAGGUCCGGUAGGACCUGUAGACAUGAACGAGGUCCGGUAGGACCUGUAGACAUUAACGAGGUCCAGUAGGACCUGUAGACAUUAACGAGGUCCAGUAGGACCUGUAGACGAGGCCCGUCCGCGGGAACAUUAACGAGGUCCAGUAGGUUUAGUCAUUACAGAAGGGUGACUUGGUGAAGAGGAUUUUGAAUAUUGACUCUGUGGUCCUCAACCAGCCAGCAUGGAAGCUACUGGUGUUUAGAUUUUCAUUGGCUUCUCUCCAAGCUUGGCUCAAUGUGCAGGGAACUUUGUGUUUGCAUGAUAUGCCAACGGCUGUGUCCUCUAACCCAGCCUGGCAGUUAGGACUUAUCCUCUGUUACCAUAGAGACGUGUAUAUACUAGAAUCCUCUCU